CCUGCCCUUGGGACCUGCAUAACCCCGGGAAACUGGGGAUAAUUCGGGAUAACGCAUAUGUGCUGGAAUGCUUUAUGCGUAAAAAGGAUUCGUCCGCCCAAGGAUGGGUCUGCGGCCUAUCAGGUAGUAGUGGGUGUAAUGUACCUACUAGCCGACAACGGGUACGGGUUGUGAGAGCAAGAGCCCGGAGAUGGAUUCUGAGACAUGAAUCCAGGCCCUACGGGGCGCAGCAGGCGCGAAAACUUUACAAUGCGGGAAACCGUGAUAGGGGGACACCGAGUGUCAGCAUCAUAUGCUGGCUGUCCAGGUGUGUAAAAUACACCUGUUAGCAAGGGCCGGGCAAGACCGGUGCCAGCCGCCGCGGUAACACCGGCGGCCCGAGUGGUGAUCGUGAUUAUUGGGUCUAAAGGGUCCGUAGCCGGUUUGGUCAGUCCUCCGGGAAAUCUGAUAGCUCAACUAUGAGGCUAUCGGGGGAUACUACCAGACUUGGAACCGGGAGAGGUAAGAGGUACUACAGGGGUAGGAGUGAAAUCUUGUAAUCCCUGUGGGACCACCUGUGGCGAAGGCGUCUUACCAGAACGGGUUCGACGGUUAGGGACGAAAGCUGGGGGCACGAACCGGAUUAGAUACCCGGGUAGUCCCAGCCGUAAACGAUGCUCGCUAGGUGUCAGGCAUGGCGCGACCGUGUCUGGUGCCGCAGGGAAGCCGUGAAGCGAGCCACCUGGGAAGUACGGCCGCAAGGCUGAAACU
rnacentral:rRNA from 1 species